rnacentral:rRNA from 1 species
CCUACGGGCGGCUGCAGUGAGGAAUAUUGGUCAAUGGCCGUAAGUCUGAACCAGCCAAGUCGCGUGAAGGAAGAAGGAUCUAUGGUUUGUAAACUUCUUUUAUAUGGGAAUAAAAUGUUCCACGUGUGGGAUUUUGUAUGUACCAUAUGAAUAAGGAUCGGCUAACUCCGUGCCAGCAGCCGCGGUAAUACGGAGGAUCCGAGCGUUAUCCGGAUUUAUUGGGUUUAAAGGGAGCGUAGGUGGAUUGUUAAGUCAGUUGUGAAAGUUUGCGGCUCAACCGUAAAAUUGCAGUUGAAACUGGCAGUCGUGAGUACAGUAGAGGUGGGCGGAAUUCGUGGUGUAGCGGUGAAAUGCUUAGAUAUCACGAAGAACUCCGAUUGCGAAGGCAGCUCACUGGACUGCAACUGACACUGAGGCUCGAAAGUGUGGGUAUCAAACAGGAUUAGAUACCCUUGUAGUC